CUGGGGCGGGGCCGCGGGGAGCAUCCCAUGUGUCCUCCAGGAGCUCUGUCGGUUGCUGGUUGGUGUUCAGAGAGACUCUGCAGCUGCAGUCCCCAACAGUCUCGGCCUUCUCCGGCCGUGGCCCCAGGAGGUGCUGGGGAAGGAUGGCUUGAAGCUCUGGGGGACCCAGAAGAGCAGCGGCGCCAAGGCACGGCGAAGGGGAAGAAAAGAAAAAAGCCAUCCAACAAGACAGCCCUUCCGGUGACUGCGGACAAAGGAUGCAAAAAAACUACAGGGAACAGCAAAAACAGGUGGAGUUGGUGUGUGUUGGGUUCUGAAAGGCCCAGGUGUGAGGCCUAAUGGAACUUCCUGAGCCUAGCUAAAGUUUGGC